UCUAGUGAUGAUGGCAAAGAGGUCACACCCGUUCCCAUACCGAACACGGAAGUUAAGCUCUUUAGCGCCGAUGGUAGUUGGGGGCUUCCCCCGGUGGGGGUGGGACGUCGCUAGCC
rnacentral:rRNA from 1 species